GACGAACGCUGGCGGCGUGCUUAACACAUGCAAGUCGAACGGAAAGGCCCUGCUUUUGUGGGGUGCUCGAGUGGCGAACGGGUGAGUAACACGUGAGUAACCUGCCCUUGACUUUGGGAUAACUUCAGGAAACUGGGGCUAAUACCGGAUAGGAGCUCCUGCUGCAUGGUGGGGGUUGGAAAGUUUCGGCGGUUGGGGAUUGACUCGCGGCUUAUCAGCUUGUUGGUGGGGUAGUGGCUUACCAAGGCUUUGACGGGUAGCCGGCCUGAGAGGGUGACCGGCCACAUUGGGACUGAGAUACGGCCCAGACUCCUACGGGAGGCAGCAAGGGGGAAUAUUGCACAAUGGGCGGAAGCCUGAUGCAGCAACGCCGCGUGCGGGAUGACGGCCUUCGGGUGGUAAACCGCUUUCGCCUGUGACGAAGCGUGAGUGACGGUAAUGGGUAAAGAAGCACCGGCUAACUACGUG
rnacentral:rRNA from 1 species